UUCAUUAUGCAUAUUUAAUGGGCUUAAUAUUUGGUGUGUAAUGAAUGGAAAGCAUUAAAUUGUUUAAAUAAGCUUUAAUAGCAAUUAACCAUGAGCUGGGCAAGUUAAAGAGUAUCCAUGUAUGUUUCAUGCCACUAUUACGAGAAAGCAGGAGCUGUAAGCCGAAGGAAAUACUAGACUGUUUAGUCAGCAAAGCUAUACAAUGUUAUUUCUCUUCCUUGCAUUUUUCUCUUCCAUUCAGCACCUUACUCCCUCUUUUCUCCUCACGGGUUAUUCUUUGUCCAGCCAUAUAUGAUAUAUCCGAACCUCUCUUCCAUUACUACUUCUUGUAGUUUAAAUGUUGUAAACAUUGAAGCUGGGGAAGUAUUACUACCGAAGUUCAACUAAGUAUUAAGGUAAUUCAAAUUACAUGUUUUAUUACUUGUGUUUCUGAAGUUAGCUAGUAGUAAGAUAAGUACCAAUUGGUUGAGAAUGUGUAGUUUUGGUUAUGUAAUGGAAUUUACCAACUGAUAGUAGUAUUAUAUGAGUAAGGUUAACUGUGAUGUGUAUAGAGAUGAUAUUUAGCUUCUAUUGCAUACAUUAGAAGCAAAGCUGAUAGUAAGAAAGGAACAUGAACUAACUAGUUUGUAUAUAUUGGUUAAUUAUAUAGAAGUUUGGUUGUUUUAUAAACUUUUAUGGCUGGAACUGGAUUAGAGGAGAUAGGUUGGUUGUGUGGAGGAAUAAGGAGGCUAAAGUGGGAUGAAAGAGCAAACCAAUGGCUAUGAAGGUUGUGUAUAAAAAUUGUGCACACUAACUGUUCGAUAAAAGUCCUUAAUGGACUGUUUUGGCUAAAAAUGGAAUUCUAGAUGGAAUUAAAGUUGGGGUUAUAUAUGUACAUCCUAUAUAAUGUUAAGAAAAGUGUUUUUAACAUAUUAAAUGCAAACAAAGAGCAAUUUUUAGGCUAAAACUAAAAGUGGGGAUUUUAUCAUGUCAAGCAAUCCUUAGUCUCUAUUUUGAGCAGUCGGGGCAUUCAAAUUGGGGGAGCUUAAUAGUUUUUGCCACUAUUUUAAAAAUCCCCGCCUAGGCGCUAGGCCCCCCUUGGCGCCUCGCCUAAGCGCUAGGCACUCCAGGCGCCUCGCAGGGCGGCAAAAAAAUCCUCCAGAAAAUUAGGUGGGGCCUAGGCGGGGUCUAUGCGGAGAGAUUUUUUUAAUUUUAAUAACUACCCAAACCAGAUCUUGAUAUAUAUAUAUUUUUUUAAUGUUUUACCAUAUUCAUAAAACAGGUUGUAGCAUAUCAAAUCAUAACAAGUGAACAAUAUCAAGUCAAAAUGGAUAAUUUUAUUAUAGUUGUAAUUUUUUGAACUUGAACCAACUUCAAAUUAUAUAAAUGAUGAUACAUUUGUAAUAUUUAGUUUAAUUCAAUAUAAUUCUUAAAUUUAUGUUUAGUUUCUUAAGUUUUAAUAUGGAAUUAAAUUAUUGAAAUUUUAAAUUUUAUUAUUUAAUAGCAAUCUUGUUUAUAAAUUUAUAAAUAAAAUUAAUACGUUAAAAAUAUGUUUGAGUUUUGAACAAUUGCAUGUUUGUUUUUGAGCUUUGACAUUAGCAGCAAUAUGAAUGUGUUUGAAUUUUAAGCAAAUGCCUUUAUUAUCUUUAUUAUAGAUUGUUUUGCUAUUGUUUUAUUUGGAUAAAUGUAAGUUAAAAUAUUAAAAUUGACUUAAAAUAAAAAAUCUCGCCUAGGCCCCCUAGGCGCUAGGCCCCCCUGGGCCGCCCGCCUCCCGCGAAGCGUCUUUUACAACAUUGAUUUUUGUUAUAGCCUGCUAUGGCAUUUGCACUACCCUUAAAAAUAGAUGCCAACAAACUUAUGUAUCCAAGGUUAUAAAACGUUGCAAAUGAAGUGUUGAGCUUGGGAAGGAGCUGCCGAGGCUGCUGCAGGCAGUAGCAGCCAGCGCCCAGCGCUGCGCUGCAGAGCCAGGCAGUCAAUUUGACACAAGUUUGAUUUAUUUAAAAAAAAUUUACAUGGCUGCAGUUGUAGACUAUCUUAGAAGAUGGAUGUACCAACUAUAAAAUUCUAAAAUGGGUUAUGAAUAGACUACCUAAUGAGAAGCCAAAGAUGGCAUGAAAUAAAGAGCCCAGCUGCUGCCCACGGCAGCAGCAGCAGCUGUUUAUAACAUCAAUUGGGGCUACUCUUGAGCUCUGGUUUAGCACAGUUAGACUUCUAAGUUUGCCCAAGUAGUGCUUCUCAUAAGGGUAUAUACUAGUUAUGUAAUACCCAAAACUUAGUGCAAGAGGGUCAAGAAGGAGAGGAAUAAAGUGCAGCAAAUCGCAAGGCAAAGAAAGGAGCUGCUGCCCAGCGGCAGCAGCAUGUACCAGCAGCAGUGAGCAUGAUGGUUAUGGGCUGGGAGCUUUAUUUUGGCUUUUAGUUGGUACACUUAUAUGGCUAUAGAUGCUCAAUUGAUGGUUCUUUAUUAUAAGCAAAAGUAUCAUCUAUUUUGGAUUUUAAAAUCUUGCAUGAAUGGGUUUGAAAAUAUGAGGAACAAGGACUACUAACUCAUGUGUUCCAAGGCAAGGGUUGCUGCCCACUGGCAGCAACAGUGGCAGCUAACAGCUGCUACAGCAGUGUUAAUGGGAUAGCUUUAGCUUUAUGGCAGAUUUCUAACUCCUAAUUAAACAGGUGUGUAAAAUAUAUAGCAAAUCUACAAUUCAACUAAGUGGGUAAUGUAAAAGAUGAUAUUUGCAAGGAGGGACAUGGUAAGUAAGGAGUUGAUAUUACUUCCAAGAGGCUGUUAAGCCAAGUUUGAAGUUGUUAAUGCCUUGAAGGGCAUUUUUGAUAAUAUAAUAAAACUUAAUGAUACUUGACACAAUGAUGCAUCAGAAUGAAGCUAUAAAUUGUUAUAAAAGCUAUAAGUUAUCCAAAUAGAUUAUAAUUACUUCCAAGACAUGAAAUACGCUAUAGAUUUUCCUUGUACACUUGGAUUAUGUACAGAAAACAUAGAAUGUCAUGUAGUAAGCUUCGAGUGGAUUAUAACUUAGAAUUUCAAUGUAUUCACAUAUUACAAACAUAUUGAACCCUAUGAAAGAGGGAAAUGACUAUUUUAAGAAAAAUGUAUAUAAAUAUCUCGAAAGUUAAAACACAAACUAAGGACAUGAUAAAUGUGGUCAUGUGAUAUGUGAAUAUACAAGCUAUGUGACUUAGAUGUUUGGCUAAUAUGCUUGUAAAUAUAAAUAAAUUUGUGUAAACUCUGUGAGAACAAGUUAAGCUAAAUUGUGUCAAUAGUCUACAAACAAGGCAAGUAUCUAAAUCUUACUUUUUAUUGAGCAAGUAUUCUAGGAUUAUUCAUAUAUGGACAGGUUUUCUAAAUUUUGAACUGUCUCUCAUUAUUUAUGAAUAAUACAAGAUUAAAUAACCUUUUUAUUCCAAUCAGCUUCAAAAGAUUGGGUUAUGUAUUUUCAUGUAUAUCAAAUGAAAUUCAAUAUGCAUGAACAGAUUGCAAGGAAGUUUGAGCCAUUUGUUCUGUUCAGACAUAGAUGUAAAAUAUUUCAAUUUCUUUAUAAUAAGUCUUGAAAUAUUAUUGUGCCAUGAUUUAAGCUAUCCAGCUAUAUUGUUACAAUUUGGAUUCUAGUCUGAGAAUGAACAAACUCAUAAAUGGGAUAUUUUUAUUGCACUCUGGGAGUGGUGACGUUGAACAUAAAAAUUGUUCUGGAUAAGAUAGUAUUGAUCAAUACAGGGCAUAAAGGGUUGAUCACCCACCGUGCCCGUAAGAUAAGACGGUUCACAGAUAAAUUUCUGAUAGAACCUUUUCAAGAAAAGAAAAAAAAUUAAAAUUUGUUCAUGGUUUUAUGACCUCUCAGCAAUUUGAUGUUAAUAUGUUAUUCCAAGAAUAUGAAUGAUUCAAGAUUUAAUUGCUUUAUAAUUUUGUUUCACUGUCAAAGCAUGACUUAAAGAAAACAUUUAUUUAUUGUUAAGAUAUUAAAGAAUUAUAUUACUUGCUGAGUAAUUGAAUGCUCAUUCUUGCUUUGUUAUAAAUGUUUUCAGCUAAUCAGGCUCCAGCAGAAGGGUCUAAUAGAGACAAAGGAAAAGGAAAAGCUACUGAGUAGUUGGAAUAUGAUAUAAUAGAUAGGUUAUAUGUUUGUAAAUACUUAACUAUCAUGUAAUAAGCACUUAAAGGUCUACGUGCCUGGGAUUAGAAGAACUCUGAUGUAAUAACUUUAUUAAGUUUGAUAUUAUAUUAAGUUGAAUGCUUGAUAUAGCGAAGCACUGAAUAAGGGUUUUAAGUACCCGAAUUUGGGGGCGUCGCAUGUAAUCACAAUAUUGUUUUACUUACCACCACGAAUGAAUACGGUC
rnacentral:lncRNA from 1 species